UGCACUCUCAGAGAUGUGGUCCUCUGGCUCAAAAGCAGAACAAGGCUUUGAAAGCAAACAGCUUUCAGGACUUGCUGGCCCGAAGGACUAUUAAGCUUUCAGCUCCUAUUGUUAAAAAAAGAGUGUAAGACAUUGAUUUGAAGGAAACACCUGAAGACACAAUGAGGAGGAGAUGGCAGAGCACUCAUCACAGGCAACUGAUGUCCACCCUGGAGGCCAUCUUGGCCUCCAUCACAUGCAGGUUAUGAAGCUCUGCAGCUAGCUGGAUCACUUUUAUUUUACCAUGCCAAAAAGCAAGCUGUAACUCCAUCUGCCAGGAAGGAAAAUUCUCCUGCUGGGGGUGCAUUGCCACAGUGUUUAUCUGGAGAAAGAGAAGUUAAAAGAAGGAGUGCUGCCUGCCCAGCAAGAGCCUGGAUUUAUUCCAUGCAAACAAAUUUUGAGCUGUCUUUUGCAGUCAGUAGAUGAACUGCAUGACAUUUUCUCCCAAG
rnacentral:lncRNA from 1 species